rnacentral:rRNA from 1 species
UACGUAGGGGGCGAGCGUUGUCCGGAUUUAUUGGGCGUAAAGCGCGCGUAGGCGGCAAGGUAUGUCGUGCGUGAAAUCUCCCGGCUUAACUGGGAGGGGCCGUGCGAAACUGCCUGGCUUGAGGUCGGAAGGGGAAAGUGGAAUUCCGGGUGUAGUGGUGGAAUACGUAGAUAUCCGGAGGAACACCAGCGGCGAAGGCGGCUUCUGGUCCGAUUCUGACGCUGAGGCGCGAAAGCGUGGGGAGCGAGUCGG